rnacentral:rRNA from 1 species
GUAUCCCUACGGGACGCAGCAGUGGGGAAUAUUGCACAAUGGGGGAAACCCUGAUGCAGCGACGCCGCGUGAGUGAGGAAGUAAUUCGGUAGGUAAAGCUCCAACAGAAGGGAAGAAAAUGACGGUACCUGACUAAGAAGCCCCGGCUAACUACGUGCCAGCAGCCGCGGGAAUACGUAGGGGGCAAGCGCUAUCCGGAUCGACUGGGAGUAAAGGGAGCGAAGACGGAGGAGCAAGCC